CACGUAGGGUGCAAGCGUUGUCCGGAUUUAUUGGGCGUAAAGAGCUCGUAGGUGGUUCAGUAAGUCAGGUGUGAAACCUCCAGGCUCAACCUGGAGACGCCACUUGAUACUGCUGUGACUGGAGUCCGGUAGGGGAGCGUGGAAUUCCUGGUGUAGCGGUGAAAUGCGCAGAUAUCAGGAGGAACACCAGCGGCGAAGGCGGCGCUCUGGGCCGGUACUGACACUGAGGAGCGAAAGCGUGGGUAGCAAACAGG
rnacentral:rRNA from 1 species